rnacentral:rRNA from 1 species
UACGGAGGGGGCGAGCGUUAUUCGGAAUUAUUGGGCGUAAAGGGCGCGUAGGCGGCUUUCUAAGUCAAAGGUGAAAUCCCUCGGCUCAACUGAGGAACUGCCUUUGAAACUGGAAGGCUUGAGGCCGGGAGGGGGUAGCGGAAUUCCCAGUGUAGCGGUGAAAUGCGUAGAUAUUGGGAGGAACACCAGUGGCGAAGGCGGCUACCUGGACCGGUACUGACGCUGAUGCGCGAAAGCGUGGGUAGCAAACAGG